UCCGGUUUGUCACCGGCAGUCUCAUUAGAGUGCCCUUGCGUAGCAACUAAUGAUAAGGGUUGCGCUCGUUGCGGGACUUAACCCAACAUCUCACGACACGAGCUGACGACGGCCAUGCAGCACCUGUGUAGGGCCCAAAAGGACACCGUAUCUCUACGGCUUUUCCCUAAAUGUCAAACCCAGGUAAGGUUCUUCGCGUUGCAUCGAAUUAAGCAACGUGCUCCGCCGCUUGUGCGGGCCCCCGUCAAUUCCUUUGAGUUUUAGCCUUGCGGCCGUACUCCCCAGGCGGGGCACUUAAUGCGUUAGCUGCGGCACGGAAACCGUUGAAAGUCCCCACACCUAGUGCCCAACGUUUACGGCGUGGACUAC
rnacentral:misc_RNA from 1 species